UUAAGCAUAUCAAUAAGCGGAGGAAAAGAAACCAACAGGGAUUGCUCUAGUAACGGCGAGUGAAGCAGCAAUAGCUCAAAUUUGAAAUCUGGCGUCUUCGACGUCCGAGUUGUAAUUUGUAGAGGAUGCUUCUGAGUAACCACCGACCUAAGUUCCUUGGAACAGGACGUCAUAGAGGGUGAGAAUCCCGUAUGCGGUCGGAAAGGUGCUCUACACGUAGCUCCUUCGACGAGUCGAGUUGUUUGGGAAUGCAGCUCUAAAUGGGAGGUAAAUUUCUUCUAAAGCUAAAUAUUGGCCAGAGACCGAUAGCGCACAAGUAGAGUGAUCGAAAGAUGAAAAGCACUUUGGAAAGAGAGUUAAAAAGCACGUGAAAUUGUUAAAAGGGAAGGGAUUGCAACCAGACUUGCUCGCGGUGUUCCGCCGGUCUUCUGACCGGUCUACUCGCCGCGUUGCAGGCCAGCAUCGUCUGGUGCCGCUGGAUAAGACUUGAGGAAUGUAGCUCCCUCGGGAGUGUUAUAGCCUCUUGUGAUGCAGCGAGCGCCGGGCGAGGUCCGCGCUUCGGCUAGGAUGCUGGCGUAAUGGUCGUAAUCCGCCCGUCUUGAAACACGGACCAAGGAGUCUAACAUCUAUGCGAGUGUUCGGGUGUCAAACCCCUACGCGUAAUGAAAGUGAACGGAGGUGAGAACCGCAAGGUGCAUCAUCGACCGAUCCUGAUGUCUUCGGAUGGAUUUGAGUAAGAGCAUAGCUGUUGGGACCCGAAAGAUGGUGAACUAUGCCUGAAUAGGGUGAAGCCAGAGGAAACUCUGGUGGAGGCUCGCAGCGGUUCUGACGUGCAAAUCGAUCGUCAAAUUUGGGUAUAGGGGCGAAAGACUAAUCGAACC
rnacentral:rRNA from 1 species